CUUUCAACAGAGACAACUGCAGAUUGCUUUAGCCCCCUUCUUUUAGCACUCAACUUUUAUUGGAAAUAAUCAGGAGAAUGUUGCAUUCAUUUCUAGUCAUGACUGUCAAUGAUAGAGGACAAGUCUUGGCAUGGUACUCAAGCAAAUAUACUGGCUUUAAUUGAAAGCAGGUUCUUCUUGUAUUUUAUGCCAAGUUAUAGCAUGGCUAAAUAUCCCCAAGUGUGAACAAAAGAUGGAUGUAUAUUUCAGGGGUCUAAAGCACACAGCUCAAGACUGUCAUCUAAACAGAUGCCCAUUUAUCACCUCUCUGAUGGCUGCCAGCGUGUUCUCCGGAGCGUCGUGGCAACCCCCGCGGCGCGCUACCAGCGGCACGCCGCCUGACGGAGCCCCAGGCCGGAGGACGCGGCUGGCCUGGUCCGUCGGUACCGGAGGAAACCGGAACAUCACCAUGAAGACAUAGAGGAAUGCAGUGAGGAGAGAGGCCCCCGCUGCACUCCUCGUCGCCAGCAUCACCAGCAGAAACACUGCCGAGAAAUACAACCCUUCAUCUCCCAGCUGCAGCAUGAUGAUGGGAGGAUGUUUGUGGCACCACCGCACCGGAGGAUGAGAGAACCGUAAUGUAGAAAGAUGGCAUGGAUGAAGCUCCGCUGUCAGCAGUACAUGGUGGAGGGACAGACUCACAGAUGUCUGAUUUCGUAACAGUGCAGAGGAUGAGGGAGGAGAGAGAGGUGGCUAUUUUCUAAGUAUGUCAAUGUUUUUAAAAUAAAUAAAAAAUACUUAGAAAAGU